CCUACGGGAGGCAGCAGUGAGGAAUAUUGGUCAAUGGCCGGAAGGCUGAACCAGCCAUGCCGCGUGAAGGUCAGUGCCCUAUGGGCGUUAAACUUCUUUUGUGCGGGAGCAAUAAUGGUCACGUGUGGCCAGACGAGAGUACCCGCAGAAUAAGCAUCGGCUAACUCCGUGCCAGCAGCCGCGGUAAUACGGAGGAUGCGAGCGUUAUCCGGAUUUAUUGGGUUUAAAGGGUGCGUAGGCGGAUUUUUAAGUCAGCGGUAACAUGUCCGGGCUCAACCCGGGCCGGCCGUUGAAACUGGGGAUCUUGAGUGGGCGAGAAGGAUGCGGAAUGCGUGGUGUAGCGGUGAAAUGCAUAGAUAUCACGAAGAACUCCGAUUGCGAAGGCAGCUCACUGGACUGCAACUGACACUGAGGCUCGAAAAUGUGGGUAUCAAACAGGAUUAGAUACCCUGGUAGUC
rnacentral:rRNA from 1 species